GAUGAACGCUGGCGGCGUGCUUAACACAUGCAAGUCGAACGAUAAAGCCCAGCUUGCUGGGUGGAUUAGUGGCGAACGGGUGAGUAACACGUGAGUAACCUGCCCUUGACUCUGGGAUAAGCCCGGGAAACUGGGUCUAAUACCGGAUAGGAGCGCCUGUCGCAUGACGGGUGUUGGAAAGAUUUUUCGGUCAUGGAUGGACUCGCGGCCUAUCAGCUUGUUGGUGAGGUAAUGGCUCACCAAGGCGACGACGGGUAGCCGGCCUGAGAGGGUGACCGGCCACACUGGGACUGAGACACGGCCCAGACUCCUACGGGAGGCAGCAGUGGGGAAUAUUGCACAAUGGGCGGAAGCCUGAUGCAGCGA
rnacentral:rRNA from 1 species